rnacentral:rRNA from 1 species
UGGGGAAUAUUGCACAAUGGGCGAAAGCCUGAUGCAGCAACGCCGCGUGAGUGAUGAAGGUCUUCGGAUUGUAAAGCUCUGUCUUUUGGGACGAUAAUGACGGUACCAAAGGAGGAAGCCACGGCUAACUACGUGCCAGCAGCCGCGGUAAUACGUAGGCGGCGAGCGUUGUCCGGAUUUACUGGGCGUAAAGGGUGCGUAGGCGGAUGUUUAAGUGAGAUGUGAAAUACCCGGGCUUAACUUGGGUGCUGCAUUUCAAACUGGAUAUCUAGAGUGCAGGAGAGGAGAAUGGAAUUCCUAGUGUAGCGGUGAAAUGCGUAGAGAUUAGGAAGAACACCAGUGGCGGAGGCGAUUCUCUGGACUGUAACUGACGCUGAGGCACGAAAGCGUGGGUAGCAAACAGGAUUAGAUACCCUGGUAGUCCACGCCGUAAACGAUGAGUACUAGGUGUAGGAGGUAUCGACCCCUUCUGUGCCGCAGUAAACACAUUAAGUACUCCGCCUGGGAAGUACGAUCGCAAGAUUAAAAC